UCAUCUCCGCAUCUCUCUCUCUCUCAUCAAACACCAUUCCGAAUUUUUUCUCUCUCUAAAACCACCCAUGGAUAGAGGAACAGCAAUACUACUGGCAUUCAUCUGCCUUGUGGCCAGCGUCGGCGGCGAGGCUCCCUCCGCCUCCCCAGCCAAGGCCCCCACCGCCACCAAGGUCUCCACCCCACCCGCCGCGUCGCCAGUAGCCACCCCUCCUUCUAAGCCUACCACCCCUGCCCCCGUCGCAACUCCUCCGGCUGCGGCACCAGUCUCAACUCCGCCUGCUGCAGCUCCGGUCUCAACUCCUCCAGCUUCACCUCCCGUCGUGACAGCUCCACCGGCGCCAGUGCCAGUGAGCUCACCCCCAGCGCCAGUGCCAGUGAGCUCACCCCCAGCUCCAGUGCCAGUGAGCUCACCCCCAGUGCCGACACCGACAGCCUCCCCCCCUCGUUGUGUCGUCGCCGCCGUCUCCCGCACCCGAGGCAGCCACUCCGCCCACUGAGGCACCUGUCGAGGCGCCGUCACCGAGCAAGAAGAAAAGCAAGAAGCACGCCGCCCCUGCGCCGGCUCCUGAGAUGCUCGGCCCACCAGCUCCGCCGGCCGGAGCUCCGGGACCUAGCGCCGACGCCUUCGCCCCUGGCCCUGGAUCUGUGGGUGAUUUG
rnacentral:lncRNA from 1 species